AAAUUCUCUGAACUGCAGUCCACAAAAACAACAGUGAACUUGACAGAGAAAAACAUGUGACUGUUGGUUACUUCCUGGCUAUGUAAUUCUUGGAGAUAAAUGCUGUGAAAUGUGGUGCCUCUUGUACUUCAAGUUAAUUCAAGAGUGCGUGCUGGUAUUUA
rnacentral:lncRNA from 1 species